rnacentral:rRNA from 1 species
CCUACGGGAGGCUGCAGUGGGGAAUAUUGCACAAUGGGCGCAAGCCUGAUGCAGCCAUGCCGCGUGUGUGAAGAAGGCCUUCGGGUUGUAAAGCACUUUCAGCGGGGAGGAAGGCGUUAAGGUUAAUAACCUUGUCGAUUGACGUUACCCGCAGAAGAAGCACCGGCUAACUCCGUGCCAGCAGCCGCGGUAAUACGGAGGGUGCAAGCGUUAAUCGGAAUUACUGGGCGUAGAGCGCACGCAGGCGGUCUGUCAAGUCGGAUGUGAAAUCCCCGGGCUCAACCUGGGAACUGCAUUCGAAACUGGCAGGCUAGAGUCUUGUAGAGGGGGGUAGAAUUCCAGGUGUAGCGGUGAAAUGCGUAGAGAUCUGGAGGAAUACCGGUGGCGAAGGCGGCCCCCUGGACAAAGACUGACGCUCAGGUGCGAAAGCGUGGGGAGCAAACAGGAUUAGAUACCCCUGUAGUC